UGGGGAAUAUUGCACAAUGGGCGCAAGCCUGAUGCAGCCAUGCCGCGUGUAUGAAGAAGGCCUUCGGGUUGUAAAGUACUUUCAGCGGGGAGGAAGGCGGUGAGGUUAAUAACCUCAUCGAUUGACGUUACCCGCAGAAGAAGCCCCGGCUAACUCCGUG
rnacentral:rRNA from 1 species